ACAGAUAGAGCAAUCAUGUUGGAAUAACCAAAUUUUACCUGAAAUAUGAAGAUAUUUAAACAUUUACAAUUGUUCCUAAGUUAUAAGGCAGAUUAUGAGAAGUAACCCCUAGUUAACUUAAAAAAGGGAAGCACUCACAUGCCUACUAACUACUACUAUCACCAACCUAAAUACGGUAAUCACAUUACCUCGAAAUGAUCCAGGGAGGUUAAAUGCCUCAUUUGCUUUAUAACAUAAUGUGCUACUCCCUCCCUUUCAAAUUAAACAAUAAACCAAUUUUAGUUUUCUCCUAAGCCAAACUUGUCUAAUUUUGACCAAGUUUAUUGGAAAUAUAUUAACAUCUACAAUAACAAAAUACAUUUCAUGGUGUAUUUUAUGAAUCUUGUUUGUUGUUAUAGUUGUUUGUGCCCUUUUAUAUAAACUUGGUCAAAGAUAAAGAAGUUUGACCUAUGACAAAGCUAAAAUGGCUUAGAAUUGUAACAACAAAGGGAGUAAAAUUCAAACAUCUACAAUAACAAAAUGCAUUUCAUGGUGUAUUUAAUGAAUCUUGUUUGGUGUUACUGUCUUUUGUGCCCUUUUAUAUAAACUUGGUCAAAGAUAAAGAAGUUUGACCGAUGACAAAGCUAAAACGCUUACAAUUGUAACAACAAAGGAAGUAAAAUUCAUAGGAUAUACUCUAUUUCAGGAAUCAGGAUGGAGAGAGAGUAUCUUGAAUUAUCUAAUCCUUCUUUCUGUGUGUAUCAUAUGGUCCAUCAUGGCUUCUACCUUGAGAAAAAUGCCCAGUAUUGAUCAUACUGUAUUUUGUUCAGUUCUCUUUUUUAUAUGUUGGAACUAGAUGAAUUUUGAUCCCAGCACAAGAAAGUAAGGAAGACAUUUAUAUUCAGUUAUGCAAGGAUGGAGAAUAGAAAGAAAAUUAAUAGGAAAGGCAUGGCUUGUGAAUUUGUGAUGAAGAACAGCAAGUGACUAAAUACCUUGAACCGUUCGAUUGAUAUAAAGAGAUUUGUGACAAUCUCCUCAGUUAUUAUAAAGUUUGUAGUGGUCAAUAUGCUGAAUUUUCACGUCCUUGUCAUAUCAUAGCUGCUCAAGUCUAUCCAGUCUUGUAAUUUUAUUGCUCUUCUGACUCAUUUCCCAGCAAGAGGCAACAGGUAGUACUUGUAUAUUCACAGGAAGAAAGAGAUUUUGACAUGUUGUUAUAAUAAAGAAUCAAAUAAUCCAGUCUUUCCAAUUCUGUUCAAUCGAUAUAUGUACAAGAGUCCAUCCACUCUACAGCUUGUUUAGUUCCAUCGCCCUCGCCUUCACCUAAGGCCUUGUUUAGUUCCAAAAUAUUUUGCAAAAUGGACACUGUAGCUCUUUCGUUUGUAUUUGACAAAUAUUGUCCAAUCAUGGACUAACUAGGCUCAAA
rnacentral:lncRNA from 1 species